GGAAUAUUGGACAAUGGGCGAAAGCCUGAUCCAGCGACGCCGCGUGGGUGAAGAAGGCCUUCGGGUUGUAAAGCUCUCUUGCCAGGGACGAUGAUGACGGUACCUGGAGAAUAAGCCCCGGCUAACUUCGUGCCAGCAGCCGCGGUAAUACGGAGGGGGCUAGCGUUGUUCGGAAUUACUGGGCGUAAAGCGCACGUAGGCGGCUUUGUAAGUUAGAGGUGAAAGCCCGGGGCUCAACUCCGGAAUUGCCUUUAAGACUGCAUCGCUAGAAUUGUGGAGAGGUGAGUGGAAUUCCGAGUGUAGAGGUGAAAUUCGUAGAUAUUCGGAAGAACACCAGUGGCGAAGGCGACUCACUGGACACAUAUUGACGCUGAGGUGCGAAAGCGUGGGGAGCAAAC
rnacentral:rRNA from 1 species